AAUGGAAUAGCUGGGUCAAAUGGUGGUUCCAUUCCAAGUUUUCUGAGGGAUAUCCAUACACUUUCCAUAAUGGUUGCACCAAUUGAUAUUCCCACCAGCAAU
rnacentral:pre_miRNA from 1 species